rnacentral:rRNA from 1 species
ACAGGAUUAGAUACCCUGGUAGUCCACGCCGUAAACGUUGGGCGCUAGAUGUGGGGCUCAUUCCACGAGUUCCGUGUCGCAGCUAACGCAUUAAGCGCCCCGCCUGGGGAGUACGGCCGCAAGGCUAAAACUCAAAGGAAUUGACGGGCACCCGCACAAGCGGCGGAGCAUGUUGCUUAAUUCGAUGCAACGCGAAGAACCUUACCUAGGCUUGACAUGCACGGAAAUCCCGCAGAGAUGUGGGGUGCCUUUGGCGUCGUGCACAGGUGGUGCAUGGUUGUCGUCAGCUCGUGUCGUGAGAUGUUGGGUUAAGUCCCGCAACGAGCGCAACCCUCGUUCUAUGUUGCCAGCACGUCAUGGUGGGGACUCAUAGGAGACUGCCGGGGUCAACUCGGAGGAAGGUGGGGAUGACGUCAAAUCAUCAUGCCCCUUAUGUCUAGGGCUGCAAACAUGCUACAAUGGCCGGUACAAAGGGCUGCGAUACCGCGAGGUGGAGCGAAUCCCAAAAAGCCGGUCUCAGUUCGGAUUGGGGUCUGCAACUCGACCCCAUGAAGUUGGAGUCGCUAGUAAUCGCAGAUCAGCAACGCUGCGGUGAAUACGUUCCCGGGCCUUGUACACACCGCCCGUCACGUCACGAAAGUCGGUAACGCCCGAAGCCGGUGGCCCAACCCCUCGGGGAGGGAGCCGUCGAAGGCGGGAUCGGCGAUUGGGACGAA